AUGCAAGUGAUAGACAGCAAUGCUCCAAAUAUCUCCAUUUUUCACUUCUCUGGUAGUUUAGUAUCGAUUUCAUUCGGAAGUGCAUUGCAAGUAAAGAAUGUACACAUGGAGUGUUUAGAAUUUGGUCAGUCCAACAUUGUCUUGCAUGCUCGGACCAAGCUUCUGUCCUAUGCACCAAAUGUUGAAACGCUUGUCAUAUCCUCGCCUAAUGAGAUGAUCAGUACACCAACGCUAUCUCGCAGAUUCCUCCACCUCAAGUACUUGCAUAUUUCUCUAAUUGGAAAUGAAGCUAUUUCACCAGAUUAUGAUUACCUUUCUCUGGUUUCUUUUCUUGAAGCUUCUCCUCGCCUGGAGACUUUCAUCUUGGAAGUACGUCAGCCUUGCAUGGAGCAUGAGUCAGUUCUUUGGAAUGCCUCGCAACUGAGGCGACUACCACAACAGCGCCACACCAGCCUAAAGAGUGUGACAAUAGUGGGCUUCAGCUCCGCAAAGAGCUUGGUCAAGUUGACAUGCCACAUUGUGGAGAACGCGACAUCGCUCGAGCGCCUCACCUUGGACACUAGUCAUGGCUGUCAGAGUUCUGGAGGGUGUAGCGUCAAUAUACCUCAGAGAAUGUACUAUACGGAGAGUGGUACUCUCGAGGGGGCCACACCUUACAUGUGCAUCCCAAUGGGGGAGGAUAUCAUCAUGGAGACCGUCAAGGCGCGUUUGGCUAUCAGAGUACAUGUCACGGGGAAAGUUCCCUCCAGUGUGGUGUUAGAAGUCGUGGAGCCUUGCAGUUGGUGCUUCGGUGUUGAAGAUUUAGAUGCCUGA
rnacentral:rRNA from 1 species